rnacentral:lncRNA from 1 species
AGUGACAGGAGCCACGUCUUAGGGCAAUGACCAGGUGAGGGCUUCAGGCCACCUUGGGGCCCUGAAUCUGGAAUCAAGAGACACGGAGAAUGAGGACCUGUUGUGGGGUCCUCUGUGGACUGAAAACUUUUCUUCACAGCCAGAAAAAUUGCCAGUCGGGAGGGAGAGCGCACUUCGUCUUGGGCCCAACCUCUCUUUGUUCCUGCCCUUCCGGAGUGGCUGGGUGUUCUGCAGCACAGACCUCAGGCAGACUGCGCAGCGGAAUACACGCUAGACUCCGUGUUUAAAGACUCAGGUUGGAGCGGAGCUACUUCUUGGUCAGGUACCUCCCUUGAUGGGACCAACAGCCCAGCAGCAAAGGGAGAAGAGCUCUCUGUUGGGCUUAAAGACCUCUGACCCAGACAAGAAUUCCCAGACCCUUAUCAUCACCCCACCCAUCUCAUUGUUAUGCCCCUUCCCCCACCUUGAGCAACCCGGCGCACUCCUCCCUGCCCCCUACUAGGAAAGGUACAUGGCCCACUCCUCAUGCUGCCUCUAUAGGGGCCUUAUGAUGCUGGAAAAAUGGUACUGGAAUCUGGGCUCUUGUUCACUGUGCUUGAAGAAUGAACUCCUCGAACACACAGGCAGCAAGCAAGCCAAGUCUUUAUUAAAGGAAAGUAGAUAGUUCUCAGGGUUGCUGGGAGGGGGGGAGAAGAGCGCCCACUCUCUAUUAUCCUAUAGGGGUUUUUAUUCCUUAAAGUUGGGGGGGGGUACCAAUGUGGGGUCCAGAGAGAUGUAGUUUUCUCCCAUUGGCCUUAGUUACCUAUAUCAGUACUUGUCCAAUAGGUCCUAGGGAUGGAAAUGUCCUGUAAGUCCCAUAGUUUCUUCACCCUUUUCUUCCCUUAAACUGAGUCACAGGGGAUUAAUGUCCAUCUGUGCAUAGUUGCACUCCCUAUAGUAAACAAGGCCUCGAGGAUGUUACUCCCUGGAGCCCUUAAGCCACAAAUGUUAAUUGAUGGCCAUAUCAAAGAAUGCAUAGAAGCCCAUGCUCCUACACUGACUACCUGAGUUAAUAUUCUGCCUCACUUAUACACCCCCAACCCACCAGCAAGUGCAUCCCAAGAUCCCUCUUUCUCCAACCAAUCAGCAGGUCCUCAGGUGUAUAGCAAGACCUCUCUUCUCCCUGGGUUACACAGACAUGACCACAUGCUUGUUGUUGGCUCUCCCUUAUUGUCAGGAAGUCAUCCCGCUGCUCUUGCAGCAUCUCUCAUCUUACUCUGCUUUCCUCUUCUCCAUGUUCAAUAAACUCUUCUUUCUUUUCACCCC